ACGAUUGAGCCAACACAUUGAAUACAUCAGUUCUCGUCCGAUCACUGAAGUUAAAUGACGUUGGGCGUGGUCAGUAUUUGGAUGGGUGAUCGUCUGGGAGAUCAAGAUGGAUGAUUGUU
rnacentral:rRNA from 1 species